rnacentral:tRNA from 1 species
GGUAGUAUGGCUGAAACAGCGAUAAACUGUAAAUUUAUACAUAAGGGCGACCUUUACUGCCA